CCUACGGGUGACAGCAGUGAGGAAUAUUGGUCAAUGGGCGAGAGCCUGAACCAGCCAAGUCGCGUGAGGGAGUACUGCCCUAUGGGUUGUAAACCUCUUUUGUCGGGGAGCAAAAGCCGGAAGUGUCAGGCCGUGAGUGUACACGAAGAAAAAGCAUAGGCUAACUCCGUGCCAGCAGCCGCGGUAAUACGGAGGAUGAGAGCGUUAUUCGGAUUUAUUGGGUUUAAAGGGUGCGCAGGCGGAUUUUUACGUAAGCGGUAAAAUGGUGGGGCUCAACCCCAUCCAGCCGUUGAAAAUGGGGGUCGAGAGUGGGCGAGAAGUAUGCGGAAUGCGUGGUGUAGCGGUGAAAUGCAUAGAUAUCACGCAGAACCCCGAUUGCGAAGGCAGCAUACCGGUGCACAACUGACGCUCAGGCACGAAAGCGUGGGUAUCGAACAGGAUUAGAUACCCCUGUAGUC
rnacentral:rRNA from 1 species